GCCUAGCCCUAAAUCUUGAUGCUCACCCUACUAAAGCAUCCGCCUGAGGACUACGAGCACAAACGCUUAAAACUCUAAGGACUUGGCGGUGCCCCAAACCCACCUAGAGGAGCCUGUUCUGUAAUCGACAACCCACGAUGCACCCGACCACUUCUUGCCAAAACAGCCUACAUACCGCCGUCGCCAGCUCACCUCCCCUGAGAGUACAACAGUGAGCUCAAUCGCCCUAACCCCGCCAAUAAGACAGGUCAAGGUAUAGCCUAUGAAGUGGAAGAAAUGGGCUACAUUUUCUAGCUUAGAAAACCCCCUCAAACGAAAGGGAGCAUGAAACAACUCCCAGAAGGCGGAUUUAGCAGUAAAGCGGGAUAAUAAAGCCCUCUUUAAACUGGCUCUGAGGCAC
rnacentral:rRNA from 1 species